rnacentral:rRNA from 1 species
AACGAACGCUGGCGGCAUGCCUAACACAUGCAAGUCGAACGAGACCUUCGGACCUAGUCGCGCACUGGUGCGUAACGCGUGGGGACCUGCCCUUAGGUUCGCAUUGACUCCCCGAAUGGGGUGCUAAUACCGGAUAUUGUCUUCCGACCAAAGAUUUAUCGACUUUGGAUGGUCCCGAGUUGGAUUAGCUAGUUGGUAGGGUAAAAGCCUACCAAUGCGACGAUCCAUAGCUGGUUUGAGAGGAUGAUCAGCCACACUGGUACUGAGACACGGCCCAGAAUCUUACGGGAGGCAGGAGUGGCGAAUAUUGGAAAAUGGGCGAAAGGCUGAUCGAGCAAUGAUGGGUGAGUGAUGAAGGCUGUAGGGUUGUAAAGCUAGUUUACACGGGAUGAUAAUGACAGUACCGGGAGAAUAAGCACCGGCUAACUUCGUG